CUGGUCCGCACAAUGUGAGAGAUACUUCAACAAGAGUUAUAUUAGAUGCUUGGGGAGACAACAUAAGCAGUCAGAUAUGUUCGCGACUCUGCUUUUUUACAUUUAGUAUUUGCAUCAAAUAAUGUUACAUUGGAUCGAUAUUUUAUACGUUAGAUA